rnacentral:rRNA from 1 species
AACGAACGCUGGCGGCGCGUCUUAAGCAUGCAAGUCGAGCGGCAAGGGGGAGCAAUCCCCCCUAGAGCGGCGGACUGGUGAGUAACGCGUGGGUGAUCUACCUUUGGGAUGGGGAUAGCCAGUGGAAACACUGGGUAAUACCGGAUACGCUUGUGGGGUUGCGGCCCUGCAAGGAAAGGUUCGUUUGGACCGCCCGAAGAUGAGCCUGCGUUCCAUUAGCUAGUUGGUGAGGUAAUGGCCCACCAAGGCUCUGAUGGGUAGCCGGCCUGAGAGGGUGUACGGCCACAUUGGGACUGAGAUACGGCCCAAACUCCUACGGGUGGCAG